rnacentral:rRNA from 1 species
CGAAAACGAAUUCUCUCUUGAGUGGAUCCUGAGUACGACGGAGCACGUGAAAUUCCGUCGGAAUCUGGGAGGACCAUCUCCUAAGGCUAAAUACUCUCUAGUGACCGAUAGUGAACCAGUACCGUGAGGGAAAGGUGAAAAGUACCCCGGAAGGGGAGUGAAAGAGAACUUGAAACCGUGUGCUUACAAGUAGUCAGAGCCCGUUAAUGGGUGAUGGCGUGCCUUUUGUAGAAUGAACCGGCGAGUUACGAUCUGAUGCAAGGUUAAGCAGAAAAUGUGGAGCCGUAGCGAAAGCGAGUCUGAAUAGGGCGAAUGAGUAUUUGGUCGUAGACCCGAAACCAGGUGAUCUACCCUUGGUCAGGUUGAAGUUCAGGUAACACUGAAUGGAGGACCGAACCGACUUACGUUGAAAAGUGAGCGGAUGAACUGAGGGUAGCGGAGAAAUUCCAAUCGAACUUGGAGAUAGCUGGUUCUCUCCGAAAUAGCUUUAGGGCUAGCCUCAAGUGAUGAUUAUUGGAGGUAGAGCACUGUUUGGACGAGGGGCCCCUCUCGGGUUACCGAAUUCAGACAAACUCCGAAUGCCAAAUAAUUUAACUUGGGAGUCAGAAUGUGGGUGAUAAGGUCCAUAUUCGAAAGGGAAACAGCCCAGACCACCAGCUAAGGUCCCAAAAUAUAUGUUAAGUGGAAAAGGAUGUGGCGUUGCCCAGACAACUAGGAUGUUGGCUUAGAAGCAGCCAUCAUUUAAAGAGUGCGUAAUAGCUCACUAGUCGAGUGACACUGCGCCGAAAAUGUACCGGGGCUAAACAUAUUACCGAAGCUG